UUACAACAACUUUGUAUGAGCUCACUUCCCAUCCCUCUUUUUUGCCUUUAAAAACUUGCUUGUAACAAAGGCUGGGCGGAGCUCACAUUCAACGUUUCUUGGGUCUAAAUCUUCCGGGCAGCUGUCUACACUUUGGCUCAGAUAGGGUCUUGUUCUGUCACCCAGGCUGGAGUGCAGGGGCAUGAUCACUGCUCACCCCAACGUCAACCUCCUGGAUUCAACUGAUCCUCCCAAUUGAAUGAUUGUUCUGAAAUACCCUCUGCAGGACUCCUUUGUGAUAUUCAUCAAAUAUUUCUUGCUCUCCACCCUCCAGACACAUGUGAUUUUCAUGGUGUGAUAUAUAGUCAACCCCACAUCAGAUCACCUGGAAUCAUUGUCGAUAUUGGGUACAACUUGCCUCACCCCAGAAUUUCAAGGAGUGUGACCUGCGAGUCUGUAUUUUUACCAGGUACCAUCUGCUGACUUCCCACAUCAGAAGCAGAAUGAUCUUCAACCCAAGACACAGGCAAAGAGAGCAUCUAACUGCUUAAAAUGAGAGCAGGAAUGGCUGUUGGCUUAGAUAGAUGGCACCCCAGAGUCCUGAAAGAACUUGCAGAUGUGAUCACAGGACCAUCUGAACCGGAGAAACCGGGGGGAAUGGAGAGACAGCAAAAGACCGGAGAUGGGUAAAUGAGUUCCAGAUUUUCCAACACAACAGGAAAGGUGACUUACGGGUCUGUGUGCUGGUUACAUUUAAUGUUGAGCUUCAGCAAAACUCCGGAACAGAUGAUUGAAGGGGCUUUGUGCGUAUUUAUUAAAGAAAGUAAUGAUUGCUAGGCACUCUCAUGAGUUCCCCGAAAUCUGAGCUCGUGCCAGACAACCUUGUUUCCAUGCCAUAGCACUCCACUGGACGAGCAGGAAAAUAUCAUAGUCAGAAAUGACUUAUUUUAGCAAGACACUUAGCAAAAGUCUCACGUGACAUCCUUGUGGACCGAGGAAUGUGGACUGGUGGUUGCUUUGUGUCCACAUUUCAGGGGACCCACUCAGGGUCCUCCUUAGGCCCCUGUCUCUACACGAAACCUCAGCCACAAAGGUGCAAGGGAAAUAAACUGACUGUCACAGAGACAAUUGCUAAUGAACUUUUAAAAAACGAAUGACUUAUUUUUUAAAAUUUUUAUUUUUCAAUUAACAGAACUAAAUUUAUUCUCAAUGUUAUAACUAUGGAAAAUGGAAAAAAUUGCUACCUCUUACUUUCUUAUUCCUUUUAAUUGAAUAUAUUUGAGGUGUACAGCAUAUUUUCAUAUACUUACCUUUUUUUUUUUCCGUGAGAGACAGAGCCUCACUCUGUUGUCUAGGCUGGAGCAUAGCAGUGCAACCAUGGCUCACUGCUGCCUCCAACUCCUGGGCUCAGGUGAUCCUCCCACCUUAGCGCCCCCGAGUAGCUGAGACUACAGGCACAUGCCACCACAUCCAACUAAUUUUUUUUUCUGUAGAGACAAUCCUCCUGCCUCAGCUUCCCAAGGAGCUGGGACUAUGGACACGCACCACCAUGCUCAGCUGAUUUUUAAAUUUUUUGUAGAGACGGGGUCUCACUGUAUUUCCCAGGAGUGUCUUGAACUCCUGGACUCAAGCAAUCCUCUGCCUUUGCCUCCCAAAGUGUUGGGAUUUCAGGCAUGAGCUACUGUGCCUGGCCAAUAUACUUAUCUUGAUAUGCAUAUACAUAGUGAGGUGGUCACUAUAGUCAAGUAAAUUGAUAUACUGGUACAUUAUCUCUAUAGCUACUUUUCCUCUGUAUGUGUGUGUGUGUGUGAGUACCUAAAAUCUACUCUCUUGCUUCAGGGUAUAAUGAGGUAGGAAGGCUUAGUCAUCUAGGGAAACUAUACCAUGUACUUAUUAUCUUUUUAGUGUUGGGAUUAGGGUUGCCAGAUAAAAUACAGGAUGCCCCACUAAAUUUGAAUUGCUAAACAACAGGGACAUACUUAGACACAAACAUUAUUCAGUGUUUAUCUGAAAUUCAAAUUCCGCUGGGUGUCAGGCAUUUCUGUUUGCCAACUCCAGCAGCCCCAGCUGGGAGGUGCCCUCUGAGCUCCUCUCCCUGGAAGUCCUCUUACCUGCUGUCAGCUGAGCAAUUUGCCAGGCUUGCUUUGGGAGCUGGCUUGAAGUUAUUUGGAUUUGAUGACUCUCUUUCUCUUCUGUACAGGAAUCUACUUACCAAGAUGGCAGGAGCAAGUGGUUAUCAGAGCCUGCUCUCUAGAAAUACAAUUAAACAAGCAGCCCCUGUCUCUUUUUCUCCACUUUCAGUCUUGGGGAAGGGAUUGGAAUAUGUGAGCAGGAGAGAAGGGUCAUGUUGGAGCAGCCAGGACUCAGAGCCUUUCCGCAGACUGAGUCUGGAUCCUUUCCUUCAGCCUCCAGGAAUACUCCCGGCUCCACACCCAGAAUGGUAAUCCAGGCAAGGGCUCUGGUGUGUGGCCACACUGCCACCUAUUACCUGCGGGUCCAAAUGCAGUGACUCAACUUCUCUGUGCCUCUCUUUCCACAUGUAUAAAAUGAGGAUAAUGUUGCUAUUGUAAGAAUUGCAUCAAUUAAUAAACAGCACUCAGUGAAUCUGUUAGCCCAUCAGUGGAUCGCGC
rnacentral:lncRNA from 1 species